rnacentral:rRNA from 1 species
GCAUAACGCGAAGAACCUUACCAAGGCUUGACAUCCCCUUGACCGGCACAGAGAUGUGCCCUCUCCUUCGGGAGCAAGGGUGACAGGUGGUGCAUGGUUGUCGUCAGCUCGUGUCGUGAGAUGUUGGGUUAAGUCCCGCAACGAGCGCAACCCUUAUCCUUAGUUGCCAGCAUUUAAGGUGGGCACUCUAAGGAGACUGCCGAUGAUAAAUCGGAAGAAGGUGGGGAUGACGUCAAAUCAUCAUGCCCCUUAUGUCUUGGGCUACACACGUGCUACAAUGGUCGGUACAAAGGGGAGCGAAGGAGUGAUCUGGAGCAAAUCCCAAUAAACCGAUCUCAGUUCGGAUUGUAGGCUGCAACUCGCCUACAUGAAGUCGGAGUUGCUAGUAAUCGCGAAUCAGAACGUCGCGGUGAAUGCGUUCCCGGGUCUUGUACACACCG